rnacentral:rRNA from 1 species
AUCGGGGUUGCGGACAGUGUCUGGUGGGUAGUUUGACUGGGGCGGUCUCCUCCUAAAGAGUAACGGAGGAGCACGAAGGUCAGCUAAUCCUGGUCGGACAUCAGGAGGUUAGUGCAAUGGCAUAAGCUGGCUUGACUGCGAGCGUGACGGCGCGAGCAGGUGCGAAAGCAGGUCAUAGUGAUCCGGUGGUUCUGAAUGGAAGGGCCAUCGCUCAACGGAUAAAAGGUACUCCGGGGAUAACAGGCUGAUACCGCCCAAGAGUUCAUAUCGACGGCGGUGUUUGGCACCUCGAUGUCGGCUCAUCACAUCCUGGGGCUGAAGUAGGUCCCAAGGGUAUGGCUGUUCGCCAUUUAAAGUGGUACGCGAGCUGGGUUUAGAACGUCGUGAGACAGUUCGGUCCCUAUCUGCCGUGGGCGCUGGAGAAUUGAGGGGGGCUGCUCCUAGUACGAGAGGACCGGAGUGGACGCAUCACUGGUGUUCGGGUUGUCAUGCCAAUGGCAUUGCCCGGUAGCUAAAUGCGGAAGAGAUAAGUGCUGAAAGCAUCUAAGCACGAAACUUGCCCCGAGAUGAGUUCUCCCUGACCCUUUAAGGGUCCUGAAGGAACGUUGAAGACGACGACGUUGAUAGGCCGGGUGUGUAAGCGCAGCGAUGCGUUGAGCUAACCGGUACUAAUGAACCGUGAGGCUUAACCUUACAACGCCGAAG